rnacentral:tRNA from 1 species
GGCCGCUUGGCUAAGGGGUACAGCUUCGCACUUGUAAUGCGAAGACUAGGAGUUCAAAUCUUUUAGUAGCCU